rnacentral:rRNA from 1 species
UUUUGAGCGUUCGGUGGAUGCCUUGGCAUCAGGAGCCGAUGAAGGACGUGGUGGCCUGCGAUAUGCCUCGGGGAGCCGGCUAACGGGCUGUGAUCCGAGGGUUUCCGAAUGGGGGGACCCGGCACCAGUUAUGUGGUGUCACCUGCAUCUGAAUUCAUAGGGUGUAGGGGGUGACGCGGGGAAGUGAAACAUCUCAGUACCCGCAGGAGAAGAUAUUCCGUGAGUAGUGGCGAGCGAAAGCGGAUGAUGGUUAAACCGUUUCCGUGUGAUGACCCGGCAGGGGUUGCGGUUGCGGUGUUGUGGGGCGCAUCUUUCUCACGUCUGCCGGCGUGGGGCGCAGUGAGAAACUCGCAUGGUAGCUGAAUCCUUUGGGAAGGGGAGGCGUAGUGGGUGAGACCCCCGUAGGCGAAACUGUGUGGGCUGUGUGGGUGCGUUGCCCGAGUAGCACGGGGCUCGUGGAAUCCUGUGUGAAUCUGCCAAGACCACUUGGUUGCCUGAAUACUUCCUGAUGACCGAUAGCGGAUAGUACCGUGAGGGAAUGGUGAAAAGUACCCCGGGAGGGGAGUGAAAUAGUACCUGAAACCGGGCGCUUACAAGCCGUCAGAGGCCUGCUGGGCUGAUGGCGUGCCUAUUGAAGAAUGAGCCUGCGAGUUAGUGCUGUGUCGCGAGGUUAACCCGUUGGGGGGAGUCGUAGCGAAAGCGAGUCCGAAAGGGCGUUUUAGUGGCACGGUCUAGACCCGAAGCGGGGUGAUCUACCCAUGGCCAGGUUGAAGCACGUGUAAGAGCGUGUGGAGGACCGAACCCACUUCAGUUGAAAAUGGAGGGGAUGAGCUGUGGGUAGGGGUGAAAGGCCAAUCAAACUCCGUGAUAGCUGGUUCUCCCCGAAAUGCAUUUAGGUGCAGCGUUACGUGUUUCUUGCCGGAGGUAGAGCUACUGGAUGGCCGAUGGGCCUUCACGGGUUACUGACGUCAGCUAAACUCCGAAUGCCGGUAAGUGAGAGCGUAGCAGUGAGACAGUGGGGGAUAAGCUUCAUUGUCGAGAGGGAAACAGCCCAGACCACCAACUAAGGCCCCUAAGCGUGUGCUAAGUGGGAAAGGAUGUGGAGUUGCUUAGACAACCAGGAGGUUGGCUUAGAAGCAGCCACCCUUGAAAGAGUGCGUAAUAGCUCACUGGUCAAGUGAUUCCGCGCCGACAAUGUAACGGGGCUCAAGCACACCACCGAAGUUGUAGAUUUCGCAUGAUAGCCCGGCACCUUGUGUGUCCAGGCGUGCGGAGUGGUAGGAGAGCGUCGUGUGGCGGGUGAAGCGGCAGUGUGAACUAGCCGUGGACGCCACACGAGUGAGAAUGCAGGCAUGAGUAGCGAAAGAUGAGUGAGAAACUCAUCCGCCGGAUGAUCAAGGGUUCCAGGGUCAAGUUAAUCUGCCCUGGGUUAGUCGGGGCCUAAGGCGAGGCCGACAGGCGUAGUCGAUGGAUAACGGGUUGAUAUUCCCGUACCGGUAAAAAACCGCCCAUACUGAUAUUGUGAUGCUAACCAUGCGAAGCAUGAUGUGCAGGCUUUUGUUUGUGUGUUGUGUGGGUUGUGGGACCCGAUCUUUGGAGGUAAACGUAUUAACAGGUGUGACGCAGGAAGGUAGCCAAGCCACGCGAUGGUUGUCGUGGUCUAAGCGUGUAGGGUUGUCGGUUGUUAAAUGCGCCGGCUGUGUGCCUGAGACGUGAUGGGACCCCGUUUUUGGGGGAUUUGGUGAUCCUAUGCUGCCGAGAAAAGCAUCGGCGUGAGGUUUUAGCCGCCCGUACCCUAAACCGACACAGGU